GAUGAACGCUGGCGGCGUGCUUAACACAUGCAAGUCGAACGAAGCACUUUAUUUGAUUUCCUUCGGGACUGAUUAUUUUGUGACUGAGUGGCGGACGGGUGAGUAACGCGUGGGUAACCUGCCUUGUACAGGGGGAUAACAGUUGGAAACGGCUGCUAAUACCGCAUAAGCGCACAGCAUCGCAUGAUGCAGUGUGAAGAACUCCGGUGGUAUAAGAUGGACCCGCGUUGGAUUAGCUAGUUGGUGAGGUAACGGCCCACCAAGGCGACGAUCCAUAGCCGACCUGAGAGGGUGACCGGCCACAUUGGGACUGAGACACGGCCCAAACUCCUACGGGAGGCAGCAGUGGGGAAUAUUGCACAAUGGGCGAAAGCCUGAUGCAGCGACGCCGCGUGAGCGAAGAAGUAUUUCGGUAUGUAAAGCUCUAUCAGCAGGGAAGAUAAUGACGGUACCUGACUAAGAAGCACCGGCUAAAUACGUGCCAGCAGCCGCGGUAAUACGUAUGGUGCAAGCGUUAUCCGGAUUUACUGGGUGUAAAGGGAGCGCAGGCGGUGCGGCAAGUCUGAUGUGAAAGCCCGGGGCUCAACCCCGGUACUGCAUUGGAAACUGUCGUACUAGAGUGUCGGAGGGGUAAGCGGAAUUCCUAGUGUAGCGGUGAAGUGCGUAGAUAUUAGGAGGAACACCAGUGGCGAAGGCGGCUUACUGGACGAUAACUGACGCUGAGGCUCGAAAGCGUGGGGAGCAAAC
rnacentral:rRNA from 1 species